GAAAAGAACUUUGAAGAAAGAGUUCAAGAGAACGUGAAACUACCACGAGGUUAAAGCGGAUGUACAUACGUAGCCGAAAGGGGAGUCUCAUCUCCUCGAGCCUCCAGCGGUCGUAGCGUAUGGACCGUCGCCGUUCUUCCUUUGCUUCGGCGGGGAUACAUGGACGCUAUCGACGGCCGUCGCUACGGCGGACUCGGAGGAUAGGGGGGUGGAUUUCUCUCCUCAGUAGGCGGUCGCGGCCGCUCGAGAGUUGUCUAAGGCUUGGGAGUUGGGAACCGUCCGGCGGCUUCGGUCGCCGGCGGGGACGCUUCCUCGAUUCUGGCGGACUCUCGGACGGUUGAUAAGAGAUGACGACUCAGAGGUAACCAAAUCCCUGGUCGUACGCGGCUGUAAUGCGAUCGUUCAUCCGUCCCGUCUUGAAACACGGACCAAGGAGUCUAACAUGUACGCGAGUCAAAGGGUUGGCUAAACCCCAAGGCGCAACGAAAGUGAAAAAGGAGAGUGUCGUCUUCUUCGGAGGGCGAUCUCUUCAUUGGGUCGAUCCGUGCUCCCUUUGUGGACCGGCGCAGACCCGGGGCUCGCCGCUACCUCUUCGAGACUCGUCUCGAGKCGGGCGGCGGGCACCUAGAGCGUACAUGCUAGUACCCGAAAGAUGGUGAUCUAUGCCUGGCCAGGAUGAAGCCAGAGGAAACUCUGGUGGAGGUCCGUAGCGAUUCUGACGUGCAAAUCGAUCGUCAGAGC
rnacentral:rRNA from 1 species